rnacentral:rRNA from 1 species
UGGGGAAUAUUGCACAAUGGGCGAAAGCCUGAUGCAGCAACGCCGCGUGAACGAUGAAGGUCUUCGGAUCGUAAAGUUCUGUUGCAGGGGAAGAUAAUGACGGUACCCUGUGAGGAAGCCCCGGCUAACUACGUGCCAGCAGCCGCGGUAAUACGUAGGGGGCUAGCGUUAUCCGGAUUUACUGGGCGUAAAGGGUGCGUAGGUGGUCCUUCAAGUCGGUGGUUAAAGGCCACGGCUCAACCGUAGUAAGCCGCCGAAACUGGAGGACUUGAGUGCAGGAGAGGAAAGUGGAAUUCCCAGUGUAGCGGUGAAAUGCGUAGAUAUUGGGAGGAACACCAGUAGCGAAGGCGGCUUUCUGGACUGCAACUGACACUGAGGCACGAAAGCGUGGGUAGCAAACAGGAUUAGAUACCCUGGUAGUCCACGCUGUAAACGAUGAGUACUAGGUGUCGGGGGUUACCCCCCUCGGUGCCGCAGCUAACGCAUUAAGUACUCCGCCUGGGGAGUACGCACGCAAGUGUG